rnacentral:lncRNA from 1 species
UUUUUUGCAUUUUUCUUUUUCCAGCAGCUUAAGCAUAUUCCUUAUAGUACUUCUUUUAUAAUUUUUUAUAUUGUUUCUUUUAAAAUUCUAUUUUCUUUUCUAGCACUUAAUUAAUUUUUCGCACAAUAGUUUCUACACCGGAAACUAUUGUGUACCUUUUACCGGAUCUAACCUUACGUUAGAAUCUAGUUUUUUAUUCCUUCGCUUUAUUUUUCUGCCUGAUUGAAGAACUCAAN